rnacentral:rRNA from 1 species
UACGUAGGGGGCAAGCGUUUGUCCGGAUUUAUUGGGCGUAAAGAGCGUGUAGGCGGCCAAGCAGGUCCGCUGUGAAAACUCGAGGCUCAACCUCGAGACGUCGGUGGAAACCGUUUGGCUAGAGUCCGGAAGAGGAGAGUGGAAUUCCCGGGUGUAGCGGUGAAAUGCGCAGAUAUCGGGAAGAACACCCGUGGCGAAGGCGGCUCUCUGGGACGGUACUGACGCUGAGACGCGAAAGCGUGGGGAGCGAACAGG